UACGGAGGGUGCAAGCGUUAUCCGGAUUUACUGGGUUUAAAGGGUGUGUAGGCGGACUAUUAAGUCAGUGGUGAAAUCCCGAGGCUCAACCUCGGAACUGCCUUUGAUACUAUUAGUCUUGAAUGUUGUUGAGGUGGGCGGAACGGGUCAUGUAGCGGUGAAAUGCAUAGAUAUGACCCGGAACACCGGAUUGCGAAGGCAGCCCGCUAAGCAACUAUUGACGCUGAGGCACGAA
rnacentral:rRNA from 1 species